rnacentral:rRNA from 1 species
UAUCAACUUUCGAUGGUAAGGUAUUGGCUUACCAUGGUUUCAACGGGUAACGGGGAAUUAGGGUUCGAUUCCGGAGAGGGAGCUGAGAAACGGCUACCACAUCCAAGGAAGGCAGCAGGCGCGCAAAUUACCCAAUCCCGACACGGGGAGGUAGUGACAAUAAAUACUGAUACAGGGCCCUAUUGGGUCUUGUAAUUGGAAUGAGUACAAUUUAAACCCCUUAACGAGGAACAAUUGGAGGGCAAGUCUGGUGCCAGCAGCCGCGGUAAUUCCAGCUCCAAUAGCGUAUAUUAAAGUUGUUGCAGUUAAAAAGCUCGUAGUUGAACCUUGGGUCUGGCUGGCAGGUCCGCCUCACCGCGUGUACUGGUCCGGCCGGCCCUUCCUUCUGGAGAACCUCAUGCCCUUUACUGGGCGUGUUGGGGACCAGGACUUUUACUUUGAAAAAAUUAGAGUGUUCAAAGCAGGCCUUUGCUCGAAUACGCUAGCACGGAAUAAUAAAAUAGGACGUGCGGUCCUAUUUUGUUGGUUUCUAGGACCGCCGUAAUGAUUAAUAGGGACAGUCGGGGGCAUCAGUAUUCAAUUGUCAGAGGUGAAAUUCUUGGAUUUAUUGAAGACUAACUACUGCGAAAGCAUUUGCCAAGGAUGUUUUCAUUAAUCAGUGAACGAAAGUUAGGGGAUUGAAGACGAUCAGAUACCGUCGUAGUCUUAACCAUAAACUAUGCCGACUAGGGAUCGGGCGAUGUUCUUUUUCUGACUCGCUCGGCACCUUACGAGAAAUCAAAGUC